AUUCUUUGAUGAUGGCAUCUUUGUAAUAGUUAUUUAAAUCAUUCCCAUGCCUUAUACAAGGAUUCGUCAUCCAUCUAUUGGAAAGUAGUGAUCUCAUUCCGCAACUU
rfam:Gossypium arboreum cultivar AKA8401 contig_31796_1, whole genome shotgun sequence.